rnacentral:rRNA from 1 species
CUACGGGGCGCUGCAGUGAGGAAUAUUGCACAAUGGGGGGAACCCUGAUGCAGCAACGCCGCGUGGAGGAUGACGCAUUUCGGUGUGUAAACUCCUUUUAUCUGUCAAGAAAAUGACGGUAGCAUAUGAAUAAGCACCGGCUAGCUCCGUGCCAGCAGCCGCGGUAAUACGGAGGGUGCAAGCGUUACUCGGAAUCACUGGGCGUAAAGGACGCGUAGGCGGGUUGGAAAGUCAGGUGUGAAAUCCUACAGCUUAACUGUAGAACUGCACUUGAAACUUCUAAUCUAGAGUAUGGGAGGGGGAGGUGGAAUUAGUGGUGUAGGGGUAAAAUCCGUAGAUAUCACUAGGAAUACCUAAAGCGAAGGCGAUCUCCUGGAACAUUACUGACGCUAAGGCGUGAAAGCGUGGGGAGCAAACAGGAUUAGAUACCCGGGUAGUC